rnacentral:rRNA from 1 species
GAUCAUGGCUCAGGAUGAACGCUGGCGGCGUGCCUAACACAUGCAAGUCGAACGAAGCACCUUACCGGAUUCUUCGGAUGAAAGUUUGGUGACUGAGUGGCGGACGGGUGAGUAACGCGUGGGUAACCUGCCCUGUACAGGGGGAUAACAGCUGGAAACGGCUGCUAAUACCGCAUAAGCGCACGAGGAGACAUCUCCUAGUGUGAAAAACUCCGGUGGUACAGGAUGGGCCCGCGUCUGAUUAG